AUUUAGUAGCAAUACACAGAUACUAAGGUGUUGCAUCGCUGUGCUCAGCUCGUUUCUUGAGGUAUUAAAUUAAUUCACGCAACAAGCCCCACUCCUAUCACUAGUGGCCAUCAUGUAAUGCUGUGAACUCCAGGCACCAUCUUUCGUAAGGCGUCAUGAAGGAGGAGUUGAUGCCAAAUCAUCAUGCCCUUUAUGGCCAGGGACCCAUCAGUUCCCCAACCAAGAAUACUAAGGGCAAGUACCUGGCAACAGGAUUCUAAUCUCAAAAACAUCGUCUCAGUUCAAAGAUAGGUCUGCAACUCCACCCCAUGAAGCGGGAAUUGUCUAGUAAUGGUAUAUCAGCAAUGAUAAAAGAAAUCGUUCCCGGUCAGGUACACACCGCCCGUCAAGCCACGGAAGCGGGGUGACUUAAAGUCGG
rnacentral:rRNA from 1 species